rnacentral:lncRNA from 1 species
UUUGUCUCCUCCUAAACUAUAGAAAAGAAAGCCUGGAGGGCCAACUCUGUGGAGAUGUGGGAUUUUUAUGUUUAUAAAAACUUUGAGGGGCUGUUAAGAUGGCUCAGUGGGUAAGAACAGUAACUGCUCUCCGAAGGUCCUGAGUUCAAAUCCCAGAAACUACAUGGUAGCUCACAACUACCCAUAAUGAGAUCUGAUGCCCUCUUCUGGCAUGUCUGAAGUCAGCUACAGUGUACUUAUUUAUAAUAAUAAAUAUUUGGACCAGAGUGAGCAGAGACUGAGCAGUGAGUGGGGCCUACCAGAGUGAACGGAGUUGACCGGCGCAAGCAGAGGUCCUAAAUACAAUUCCCAACAACCACAUAAAGGUUCACAACCAUCUGUUCAUCUACAGUGUACCUGUAUACAUAAAAUAAAUAAAUAAAUCUUUAAAAAUAAGUAAAUAAAAACUUUGAAAAGGAAAACCUGCUUAAAAUUAAUAACAUCGUGGUUAGCAGUAAAACAGCAUUCCACCACUGUUUACAGAGCACCUCCCAAGGAGCAGGCCAUGGUUUGGCUCAGAUUAGAGCCUAGUGUCAUGCCAGUGUUUACACAGCACCUCCUAAGCAACAUGCAGAGGCAUGGCUCAGAUUCGAGCCUAGUGAUGAUUGCCAUGGGAAUUAAGAGAUGAAAAGAUCUGUGCAGAGAGAAUGAGCAUUGUAAAAUAGAAACACGAGAGUAAAACACCAGUUAGAAGCAGGGUAGGAGAAAGCCUGAUGCAAAAGGUCCUUGUGUGAAUAUGUCUCAGGCCCACAGGAUUUCGCACUAAGGCAAAAAGAAUGGGAAAACAAAGAAAAUAGAUACACAAAUUAAAUAUAGAGGCAAAAAAUGCAACAUUGCUCCUUAGAACAGCUGAAGAACUAUCUUAAAAGGCAUGGAAAAUUUAGUAAUAUAUAGUUUUCACACUUGAUUUGAACUAAAAGUCUGAGAAAUGGUAACUGAUACUUAUUGAAUAAAAAUACCUCUACAAAUAAAAGUUCUUAAAUAGCCGGGCAGUGGUGGCAAUCACCUUUAAUCCCAGCAAUUGGGAGGCAGAGGCAGGCAGAUUUCUGAGUUCGAGGCCAGCCUGGUCUACAGAGUGAGUUCCAGGACAGCCAGGGCUACACAGAGAAACACUGUCUCAAAAUACAAAACAAAACAAUCUUCAAUACCCAUAGAGUUUGAUUUAUAUAUGUAUCUGUGUAUAUGGCAAUAUAUGUGGAUACACACACACACACAUAUAUGUGGGCACAUACAUCUCUUCCUUUCCCUCUCUACCCCUCGUGUUUGUGUGUGUGUGUGUGUGUGUGAAAAGAUUCUGUAUACAACAAUAAUAUCACCCUAGCAUAUCUAGGAGUGAUCAGUGUGAAACUGAUUAGGGAACCAGGGGGUCUAAUGCAGCAGCCAGCAGGCUUCCAGACUUCCUGUGACAAUUGCUGCAAAGUUAAACUACUUAUGAUAAGGAGAGAAACAAAAUAAAACGAAACAAAACAAAACAGGAAGCCCUAGACAAACUGGUUAAGAGCAGCAACCACCGAGUGGCAACCAAUUUAAUGGAGGACUGUGAGUCUCCUUCUACCUGCACUGUAAAACAUUAGCCAAGAAAGAGUUUCACACCAAGGGGAAGCUAUGAUUCGAGUGUAGCACUUUGAGAAAUGUGAAAAGUGAUGUCCGUGCACUGAAAAUCUCUUUGUUUUCACAGAAACGUCUUGAAUACUCAGAUCCUUCUCCUCGAGAUAAAAUGCCUGUGCUGUUAGAGGCUCUGUCUGGGGAACUCUGAUGAGUUCUGCCAAAGACCAGCUUUGACACCAGGAGGUAAACUGAGACAGGCAGCUGAUGAGGGAGUCAAUGCUUCGAGCAGCUGAUGGAGGUGGAUCUAUAUACCUGUAGGGGCUGUGGCCUAUGGCAGCAAGCGGUUUGAGAAAAGAAAGAGAAAAUUCACACACACAUGCACACACACAGUGAGUGGCCAAAACAAAAAGCAGAGCCCAAUAACUUCAUAAAUACAAAUACAUACAUAAAUACAUACAUACAUACGUGCAUCCAUUCAUACAUACAUAAAUACAUACGUGCAUCCAUUUAUACACACAUAUAUGCAUACAUACAUGCGUACAUACAUAUAUGCAUUCAGGCUCCAAGCAUUUUAUAUACACAUAGAUACAUAUAUACACACAAUUGGUGGAUGAAGCAAGUUCCAACACACACCUAGACAAGAUUUACAUAUAUACAUACAUACACAUAGUUGAUGGAUGGCAGGGAUAAUGUCCCAACCUGCACUCAUAAAAACCUUAUACAUAUACAUACAUACAUACAUACAUACAUACAUACAUACAUACAUACACACAGUUGAUGGAUGGAAGGAGUAAGGUGCCAACCCCCACAUUUUAUUUUUUUCUUCUGUAGCUUAUAUAUCCCAGUAAAGUAUUUCAAGCAGUAUAAAAUUACAAUGUGAUUAAGUUUUAGUUUUCUUUUAAUGAUUAAGAAAAGGCAGUGUGUCCCCCAAUAAAUACCUCUACAGGAGAUAUGUAGCAAAGGUAAAGAAAACAAAGUAUUCCCAGGAGCCCAGGUACAUUCCUACCUAAGCAACUUGUUAUAGGUUAACAAAUUGUAAGCAAGCAAGAUAGUUUUCUCAGCCAGUUUCUCUUACUGGCAAGCAGCAAUUUGCAGGUACAAAGAAAGGAAUAUUUUAUUAUUUUUCUUUAAAUGUAAUCUCGUAAGAAUCUUAAAAGAAUCACAAACCUAAACUUUUAUAUAAAAAUCAGUAAUACCUACCUUAAAGCCUCAGAAUGUAUAUCUACUCAUUAUUAAUUAAUAAAUCAUAUCAGGAAGCUGAAGGCAAAAAUAGGUAUAAGAAUCAAUUAUCACCAGUCUAGCCUCAAUGAGAGUCAGGCCAGCCAGUGCUGCCAUUGUUCUUGUUCGCUGAUCAUAAAUGGUCCCUACCCUAACGGAUAAGAGAGUGCCUUUGUGAACUUCACAUUUGUUCCCUAAGAGUUUCUACAUCACAACCAAUAAUAAAACAUCUCUAC